GACAGAGGGUGCAAACGUUGCUCGGAAUUACUGGGCGUAAAGCGCGUGUAGGCGGUUCCGCAAGUCAGGUGUGAAAGCCCAGGGCUCAACCCUGGAAGUGCACUUGAUACUACGGAGCUUGAGUACUGAAGAGGAGAGCGGAAUUCCCGGUGUAGAGGUGAAAUUCGUAGAUAUCGGGAGGAACACCAGUGGCGAAGGCGGCUCUCUGGAACGCAACUGACGCUGAGACGCGAAAGCGUGGGGAGCAAACAGGG
rnacentral:rRNA from 1 species